rnacentral:tRNA from 1 species
UCCCUGGUGGCCUAGUGGUUAGGAUUCAGCACUUCCGCUGCUGUGGCCGGGUUUCAAUCCCUGGUCGGGGAA